AACGAACGCUGGCGGCAGGCUUAACACAUGCAAGUCGAACGCCCCGCAAGGGGAGUGGCAGACGGGUGAGUAACGCGUGGGAACGUGCCCUUCGCUUCGGAAUAGCCCCGGGAAACUGGGAGUAAUACCGGAUACGCCGUAUUGGGAAAGAUUUAUCGGCGAAGGAUCGGCCCGCGUUGGAUUAGGUAGUUGGCGGUGUAAUGGACCACCAAGCCUACGAUCCAUAGCUGGUCUGAGAGGAUGAUCAGCCACACUGGGACUGAGACACGGCCCAGACUCCCACGGGAGGCAGCAGUGGGGAAUCUUGGACAAUGGGCGCAAGCCUGAUCCAGCCAUGCCGCGUGAGUGAAGAAGGCCUUAGGGUUGUAAAACUCUUUCGCCGGAGAAGAUAAUGACGGUAUCCGGAGAAGUAGCCCCGGCUAACUUCGUGCCAGCAGCCGCAGUAACAC
rnacentral:rRNA from 1 species